GACGAACGCUGGCGGCGUGCUUAACACAUGCAAGUCGAACGGAAAGGCCCUGCUUUUGUGGGGUGCUCGAGUGGCGAACGGGUGAGUAACACGUGAGUAACCUGCCCUUGACUUUGGGAUAACUUCAGGAAACUGGGGCUAAUACCGGAUAGGAGCUCCUGCGGCAUGGUGGGGGUUGGAAAGUUUCGGCGGUUGGGGAUGGACUCGCGACUUAUCAGCUUGUUGGUGGGGUAGUGGCUUACCAAGGCUUUGACGGGUAGCCGGCCUGAGAGGGUGACCGGCCACAUUGGGACUGAGAUACGGCCCAGACUCCUACGGGAGGCAGCAGUGGGGAAUAUUGCACAAUGGGCGGAAGCCUGAUGCAGCAACGCCGCGUGCGGGAUGACGGCCUUCGGGUUGUAAACCGCUUUCGCCUGUGACGAAGCGUGAGUGACGGUAAUGGGUAAAGAAGCACCGGCUAACUACGUG
rnacentral:rRNA from 1 species